rnacentral:rRNA from 1 species
GACCCGUCUUGAACCACGGAGUCUAACAAUUGUGCGAGUUAUUGGUCUAAAAAAUGUGUGCAUUUUUUUUYCAAUAAAAAAAUCGNAAAAAAUUAUUUUAAAACCAAAAGCGAAAUGAAAGUAAUUGAAAUGGUGGANUAAUUUUUCUCCAUUUCAAAUGAUGAAAUUGUAGACAAAGUAAAAUUUAUUUUAUUUUUAUCUAUUAAUUGCAAUCAUUGAAUAUUUUGGACACGUAUUAUAUUUUUAAUAUUUUAUGUAGUCGAUAGUCGAAAUAUAUCAAGAGCAUAAUUGUUGGGACCCGAAAGAUGGUGAACUAUACCUGGCCAGGGUGAAGUCAGGAGAAAUUCUGAUGGAGGCCCGUAGCGAUUCUGACGUGCAAAUCGAUCGUCAGAGCUGGGUAUAGGGGCGAAAGACUAAUCGACCCAUCUAGUAGCUGGUUCCUUCCGA